rnacentral:misc_RNA from 1 species
CGCACCUUGCGCUCCUUGGUAUUCCGAGGAGCAUGCCUGUUUGAGUAUCGUGAAAUUCUCAACUCCCCUGAUCUUUCUGUCGAAAGUUUCUAGUGGCGAGAUUGGACUUGGAGGCCGUGUUGGCUCAUCAGCAGAGUCGACUCCUCUCAAAUGCAUUAGCGUGAGUUUUUACGAAUCGCCUUCAGUGUGAUAAAUAUCUACGCUGUGGUGUUGAAGUAGUCAUGGUUCACGCUUAUAGCUGUCUCUUCGUGAGACAAUUAUUUGACCAUUUGAUCUCAAAUCAGGUAGGACUACCCGCUGAACUUAA